ACAUUCGUAGUGUAGGGGUUAUCAUCUGAGCUUCCCAUCAUACUGGCUUUGCUUAGGACCCGGGUUCGAGUCCUGGCGGAUGUA
rnacentral:tRNA from 1 species